rnacentral:rRNA from 1 species
UUCUGGUUGAUCCUGCCAGACCUGACUGCUAUCGGAUUGAUACUAAGCCAUGCGAGUCGUUGUAGCAAUACAAGGCAUACGGCUCAGUAACGCGUAGUCAACCUAACCUAUGGACGGGAAUAACCUCGGGAAACUGAGAAUAAUGCCCGAUAGAACAUUAUGCCUGGAAUGGUUUAUGUUCCAAAUGAUUUAUCGCCAUAGGAUGGGACUGCGGCCUAUCAGUUUGUUGGUGAGGUAAUGGCCCACCAAGACUAUUACAGGUACGGGCUCUGAGAGGAGUAGCCCGGAGAUGGGUACUGAGACACGGACCCAGGCCCUAUGGGGCGCAGCAGGCGAGAAAACUUUGCAAUGUGCGAAAGCACGACAAGGUUAAUCCGAGUGAUUUCUGCUAAAGAGAUCUUUUGUUAGUCCUAGAAACACUAACGAAUAAGGGGUGGGCAAGUUCUGGUGUCAGCCGCCGCGGUAAAACCAGCACCUCAAGUGGUCAGGAUGAUUAUUGGGCCUAAAGCAUCCGUAGCCGGCUCUGUAAGUUUUCGGUUAAAUCUGUACGCUCAACGUACGGGCUGCCGGAAAUACUGCAGAACUAGGGAGUGGGAGAGGUAGACGGUACUCGGUAGGAAGUGGUAAAAUGCUUUGAUCUAUCGAUGACCACCUGUGGCGAAGGCGGUCUACCAGAACACGUCCGACGGUGAGGGAUGAAAGCUGGGGGAGCAAACCGGAUUAGAUACCCGGGUAGUCCCAGCUGUAAACUAUGCAAACUCAGUGAUGCAUUGGCUUGUGGCCAAUGCAGUGCUGCAGGGAAGCCGUUAAGUUUGCCGCCUGGGAAGUACGUACGCAAGUAUGAAACUUAAAGGAAUUGGCGGGGGAGCACCACAAGGGGUGAAGCCUGCGG